GGUUAAGCGACUAAGCGUACACGGUGGAUGCCCUGGCAGUCAGAGGCGAUGAAGGACGUGCUAAUCUGCGAAAAGCGUCGGUAAGGUGAUAUGAACCGUUAUAGCCGGCGAUGUCCGAAUGGGGAAACCCAGUGUGAUUCGUCACACUAUCGUUAACUGAAUACAUAGGUUAACGAGGCGAACCGGGGGAACUGAAACAUCUAAGUACCCCGAGGAAAAGAAAUCAACCGAGAUUCCCCCAGUAGCGGCGAGCGAACGGGGAGCAGCCCAGAGUCUGAAUCAGCUUGUGUGUUAGUGGAACGGUCUGGAAAGUCCGACGGUACAGGGUGAUAGUCCCGUACACCAAAAUGCACAGGCUGUGAACUCGAAGAGUAGGGCGGGACACGUGGUAUCCUGUCUGAAUAUGGGGGGACCAUCCUCCAAGGCUAAAUACUCCUGACUGACCGAUAGUGAACCAGUACCGUGAGGGAAAGGCGAAAAGAACCCCGGCGAGGGGAGUGAAAAAGAACCUGAAACCGUGUACGUACAAGCAGUGGGAGCACCUUCGGGUGUGACUGCGUACCUUUUGUAUAAUGGGUCAGCGACUUAUAUUCUGUAGCAAGGUUAACCGUAUAGGGGAGCCGCAGGGAAACCGAGUCUUAACUGGGCGUUAAGUUGCAGGGUAUAGACCCGAAACCCGGUGAUCUAGCCAUGGGCAGGUUGAAGGUUGGGUAACACUAACUGGAGGACCGAACCGACUAAUGUUGAAAAAUUAGCGGAUGACUUGUGGCUGGGGGUGAAAGGCCAAUCAAACUGGGAGAUAGCUGGUUCUCCCCGAAAGCUAUUUAGGUAGCGCCUCGUGAAUUCAUCUUCGGGGGUAGAGCACUGUUUCGGCUAGGGGGUCAUCCCGACUUACCAACCCGAUGCAAACUACGAAUACCGAAGAAUGUUAUCACGGGAGACACACGGCGGGUGCUAACGUCCGUCGUGAAGAGGGAAACAACCCAGACCGCCAGCUAAGGUCCCAAAGUCAUGGUUAAGUGGGAAACGAUGUGGGAAGGCACAGACAGCCAGGAUGUUGGCUUAGAAGCAGCCAUCAUUUAAAGAAAGCGUAAUAGCUCACUGGUCGAGUCGGCCUGCGCGGAAGAUGUAACGGGGCUAAACCAUGCACCGAAGCUGCGGCAGCGACACUAUGUGUUGUUGGGUAGGGGAGCGUUCUGUAAGCCUGCGAAGGUGUGCUGUGAGGCAUGCUGGAGGUAUCAGAAGUGCGAAUGCUGACAUAAGUAACGAUAAAGCGGGUGAAAAGCCCGCUCGCCGGAAGACCAAGGGUUCCUGUCCAACGUUAAUCGGGGCAGGGUGAGUCGACCCCUAAGGCGAGGCCGAAAGGCGUAGUCGAUGGGAAACAGGUUAAUAUUCCUGUACUUGGUGUUACUGCGAAGGGGGGACGGAGAAGGCUAUGUUAGCCGGGCGACGGUUGUCCCGGUUUAAGCAUGUAGGCUGGUUGUCCAGGCAAAUCCGGAUAAUCAAGGCUGAGGUGUGAUGACGAGGCACUACGGUGCUGAAGUAACAAAUGCCCUGCUUCCAGGAAAAGCCUCUAAGCAUCAGGUAACAUCAAAUCGUACCCCAAACCGACACAGGUGGUCAGGUAGAGAAUACCAAGGCGCUUGAGAGAACUCGGGUGAAGGAACUAGGCAAAAUGGUGCCGUAACUUCGGGAGAAGGCACGCUGGUGUGUAGGUGAAGUCCCUGCGGAUGGAGCUGAGACCAGUCGAAGAUACCAGCUGGCUGCAACUGUUUAUUAAAAACACAGCACUGUGCAAACACGAAAGUGGACGUAUACGGUGUGACGCCUGCCCGGUGCCGGAAGGUUAAUUGAUGGGGUUAUCCGUAAGGAGAAGCUCUUGAUCGAAGCCCCGGUAAACGGCGGCCGUAACUAUAACGGUCCUAAGGUAGCGAAAUUCCUUGUCGGGUAAGUUCCGACCUGCACGAAUGGCGUAAUGAUGGCCAGGCUGUCUCCACCCGAGACUCAGUGAAAUUGAACUCGCUGUGAAGAUGCAGUGUACCCGCGGCAAGACGGAAAGACCCCGUGAACCUUUACUAUAGCUUGACACUGAACAUUGAGCCUUGAUGUGUAGGAUAGGUGGGAGGCUUUGAAGCGUGGACGCCAGUCUGCGUGGAGCCAACCUUGAAAUACCACCCUUUAAUGUUUGAUGUUCUAACGUUGGCCCCUUACCGGGGUUGCGGACAGUGUCUGGUGGGUAGUUUGACUGGGGCGGUCUCCUCCCAAAGCGUAACGGAGGAGCACGAAGGUUAGCUAAUCCUGGUCGGACAUCAGGAGGUUAGUGCAAUGGCAUAAGCUAGCUUGACUGCGAGCGUGACGGCGCGAGCAGGUGCGAAAGCAGGUCAUAGUGAUCCGGUGGUUCUGAAUGGAAGGGCCAUCGCUCAACGGAUAAAAGGUACUCCGGGGAUAACAGGCUGAUACCGCCCAAGAGUUCAUAUCGACGGCGGUGUUUGGCACCUCGAUGUCGGCUCAUCACAUCCUGGGGCUGAAGUAGGUCCCAAGGGUAUGGCUGUUCGCCAUUUAAAGUGGUACGCGAGCUGGGUUUAGAACGUCGUGAGACAGUUCGGUCCCUAUCUGCCGUGGGCGCUGGAGAAUUGAGGGGGGCUGCUCCUAGUACGAGAGGACCGGAGUGGACGCAUCACUGGUGUUCGGGUUGUCAUGCCAAUGGCACUGCCCGGUAGCUAAAUGCGGAAGAGAUAAGUGCUGAAAGCAUCUAAGCACGAAACUUGCCCCGAGAUGAGUUCUCCCUGAGACUUUAAGUCUCCUGAAGGAACGUUGAAGACGACGACGUUGAUAGGCCGGGUGUGUAAGCGCAGCGAUGCGUUGAGCUAACCGGUACUAAUGAACCGUGAGGCUUAACCUU
rnacentral:rRNA from 1 species